ACGGGAGGCAGCAGUGAGGAAUAUUGGACAAUGGGGGCAACCCUGAUCCAGCCAAACCGCGUGAGGGAUGAAGGUCCUACGGAUCGUAAACCUCUUUUAUGUGGGAAUAAUUGCCGGUAUGUAUACUGGUUUGAAGGUACCACUUGAAUAAGCAUCGGCUAACUCCGUGCCAGCAGCCGCGGUAAUACGGAGGAUGCGAGCGUUAUCCGGAUUUAUUGGGUUUAAAGGGUGCGCAGGCGGCACGUUAAGUCAGCGGUGAAAUGCAGGGGCUCAACCCCGGCACUGCCGUUGAAACUGGCGAGCUCGAGUACGGAUGAAGUCGGCGGAAUGUGAUGUGUAGCGGUGAAAUGCUUAGAUAUGUCACAGAACACCGAUUGCGAAGGCAGCUGACUAAUCCGCAACUGACGCUCAGGCACGAAAGCGUGGGGAUCGAACAGGAUUAGAUACCCUGGUA
rnacentral:rRNA from 1 species